rnacentral:rRNA from 1 species
CCUACGGGUGGCAGCAGUGGGGAAUAUUGGACAAUGGGCGAAAGCCUGAUCCAGCCAUGCCGCGUGUGUGAAGAAGGCCUUCGGGUUGUAAAGCACUUUCAGUGGGGAAGAAAGCCUUGGGGCUAAUACCCUCGAGGAAGGACAUCACCCACAGAAGAAGCACCGGCUAACUCCGUGCCAGCAGCCGCGGUAAUACGGAGGGUGCGAGCGUUAAUCGGAAUUACUGGGCGUAAAGCGCGCGUAGGCGGUCUGAUAAGCCGGUUGUGAAAGCCCCGGGCUCAACCUGGGAACGGCAUCCGGAACGGUCAGGCUAGAGUGCAGGAGAGGAAGGUAGAAUUCCCGGUGUAGCGGUGAAAUGCGUAGAGAUCGGGAGGAAUACCAGUGGCGAAGGCGGCCUUCUGGACUGACACUGACGCUGAGGUGCGAAAGCGUGGGUAGCAAACAGGAUUAGAUACCCGUGUAGUC